rnacentral:rRNA from 1 species
AACGUCGGUCCAGAGCGUGUUUCGGAUUCACUGGGUGUAACGGGCGCGUAGGUGGUUGUCUGUGUCUCAUGUGAAAACUCAGGGCUCAACUCUGAGAUUGCGUGGGAAACUAGGCAGCUAGAGGACGGUAGAGGGGAGUGGAAUUCCCGGUGUAGCGGUAAAAUGCGUAGAUAUCGGGAGGAACACCGGUGGCGAAGGCGGCUCUCUGGGCCGAUCCUGACGCGGAGGCGCGAAAGCUAGGGGAGCGCACCGGAGGAGAUACCCGUGUAGUCC